rnacentral:rRNA from 1 species
AGAACGAACGCUGGCGGCAGGCUUAACACAUGCAAGUCGAACGGUUGUAGCAAUACAGCAGUGGCAGACGGGUGAGUAACACGUGGGAACCUUCCUAGGGGUACGGAACAACUCAGGGAAACUUGAGCUAAUACCGUAUACGUCCGUAAGGAGAAAGAUUCAUCGCCCCUAGACGGGCCCGCGUAGGAUUAGGUAGUUGGUGAGGUAACGGCUCACCAAGCCUACGAUCCUUAGCUGAUCUGAGAGGAUGAUCAGCCACACUGGGACUGAGACACGGCCCAGACUCCUACGGGAGGCAGCAGUGGGGAAUCUUGGACAAUGGGCGCAAGCCUGAUCCAGCCAUGCCGCGUGAGUGAAGAAGGCCUUCGGGUUGUAAAGCUCUUUUACCAGGGACGAUAAUGACGGUACCUGGAGAAUAAGCCCCGGCAAAACUUCGUGCCAGCAGCCGC